CUUGGUGAUAUUUUUAACUAUAUAUUUUAGAGCAGUACCAUCCAAUAGAAAUAUAAUAUGAGCCACAUAUGUAAUUUAAAGUUUUCCAAUAGUCAUAUUAGCCACAGUCAAAAGAAAUAGGUGAAGUUAAUUUUAACAACAUAUUUUAUUUAACCCAGCCUAUACAAAAUAUUAUCAUUUCAGCCUGAAAUAAGUAUACAGAUUGUUAAGAUCUUUUACAUUCUGUUUUUCAUAGUGAGCCUUCAAAAUUUAAUACGUGUUACACUUACAAUACGUUUCUGUUGAGACUAGCCCUGUUACAAGUGCUCAGGAAGCCAGUCUUCGCCAGGCGUGGCUCCCGAAUUGGACAGCACCGUAGCAGAUCUAUUGAAAAUUUAAUUUUAAUCUCUAUCAGCCUUUUUGGGGUAAUUAUGGCUUUUUCAUCAUAGCUUAUUCUGCAUUCGUAAUUGUAUGACGAGUCUCUCUUGUUUGUCUACCUUUGCCUGAAUUAUCUCCUUAUGGGGCUGUA